GACGAACGCUGGCGGCGUGCUUAACACAUGCAAGUCGAACGGAAAGGCCCUGCUUUUGUGGGGUGCUCGAGUGGCGAACGGGUGAGUAACACGUGAGUAACCUGCCCUUGACUUUGGGAUAACUUCAGGAAACUGGGGCUAAUACCGGAUAGGAGCUCCUGCUGCAUGGUGGGGGUUGGAAAGUUUCGGCGGUUGGGGAUGGACUCGCGGCUUAUCAGCUUGUUGGUGGGGUAGUGGCUUACCAAGGCUUUGACGGGUAGCCGGCCUGAGAGGGUGACCAGCCACAUUGGGACUGAGAUACGGCGCAGACUCCUACGGGAGGCAGCAGUGGGGAAUAUGACACAAUGGGCGGAAGCCUGAUGCAGCAACGCCGCGUGCGGGAUGACGGCCUUCGGGUUGUAAACCGCUUUCGCCUGUGACGAAGCGUGAGUGACGGUAAUGGGUAAAGAAGCACCGGCUAACUACGUG
rnacentral:rRNA from 1 species